rnacentral:rRNA from 1 species
GAUGAACGCUAGCGGCAGGCCUAACACAUGCAAGUCGAGGGGUAACAGGGGUAGCAAUAUCCGCUGACGACCGGCGCACGGGUGAGUAACGCGUUUGUAACCUACCUUUAACUGGAAGAUAGCCCGAAGAAAUUCGGAUUAAUACUCCAUAACACUAUAGUUUGGCAUCAUUUUAUAGUUAAAGCUCCGGCGGUUAAAGAUGGGCAUGCGUAACAUUAGCUAGUUGGUGAGGUAAUAGCUCACCAAGGCUACGAUGUUUAGGGGGUCUGAGAGGAUAGUCCCCCACACUGGUACUGAGACACGGACCAGACUCCUACGGGUGCUG